UACGGGGGGGGCAAGCGUUGUUCGGAAUUACUGGGCGUAAAGGGCUCGUAGGCGGCCAACUAAGUCAGACGUGAAAUCCCUCGGCUUAACCGGGGAACUGCAUCUGAUACUGGAUGGCUUGAGUUCGGGAGAGGGAUGCGGAAUUCCAGGUGUAGCGGUGAAAUGCGCAGAUAUCAGGAGGAACACCAAUUGCGAAGGCAGCUCGCUGGGACGUUACUGACGCUGAGACGCGAAAGCGUGGGGAGCAAACAGG
rnacentral:rRNA from 1 species